AGUGAACGCUGGCGGUAGGCCUAACACAUGCAAGUCGAACGGCAGCACAGUAAGAGCUUGCUCUUACGGGUGGCGAGUGGCGGACGGGUGAGGAAUACAUCGGAAUCUACUUUUUCGUGGGGGAUAACGUAGGGAAACUUACGCUAAUACCGCAUCCGACCUACGGGUGAAAGCAGGGGAUCUUCGGACCUUGCGCGAUUGAAUGAGCCGAUGUCGGAUUAGCUAGUUGGCGGGGUAAAGGCCCACCAAGGCGACGAUCCGUAGCUGGUCUGAGAGGAUGAUCAGGCACACUGGAACUGAGACACGGUCCAGACGCCUACGGGAGGCAGCAGUGGGGAAUAUUGGACAAAGGGCGCAAGCCUGAUCCAGCCAUACCGCGUGGGUGAAGAAGGCCUUCGGGUUGUAAAGCCCUUUUGUUGGGAAAGAAAAGCAGCAGGUUAAUACCCCGCUGUUCUGACGGUACCCAAAGAAUAAGCACCGGCUAACUUCGUG
rnacentral:rRNA from 1 species